rnacentral:misc_RNA from 1 species
CCUACUCUCACACUUUACUAACUCACGCUAUCUCUAAACAAAGUUUAUAUCCUAGGAGACCCGUAAACGAAAUUUGGAAGGAUCAUCCAGUGUCUGAACUACAUGGACUAUUAACAAAGAAUUAAUUAAAUCAGAGUCCUCCAAGUAAACACUGACCGAGAAAGAUGAUCCUCCGUCCAUCCUACAAACUACUCUCUGCUCUACGUCACAUACCCAGCUACCCAACAUUCUUAUCCAGAGCGCUAGUUUCGGUAACAGUGAAUCCAGAAAAGGGUUUGGUUGAUGAGCAAUUGUCUGUGAGUGUUUCUGGUUUGAAACCUGAAGAAAAUGUCACAGUCAGUGCCACAAUCGAACAGAGCUCAAAGAAAAGAGAAACCGUUUUCAGGUCUUUCGGACAUUUCAAAGCUUCAGUUGACGGAUGUGUUAAUCUGGUCACUGACCCAUGUUUAGCUGGGACCUACACUGGAAUUGAUCCCAUGGGAUUAUUUUGGAGUAUGACUCAAGUAGUUGGAAAACAUGGUAGAAUUAAUAUUGAUGAUGCCACCAAAUCUUUGGAUUACACUGUGAUGGUCCACCCUGGUCGUAUCUCACAACAUUCCAAUCUUUUUUCUCAUAUUAAACCAUUAGGAACAAAGUUGGUUCGACGAUCGUUUAUGAGAUCUGGUGUCCGCAAAAUCACAGUUAACUACGGAAGACUUCGGGGUAGUUUAUUCAUACCAAGUGACGAAACGACCAACAGACAACGGCGACGAUAUCCUGCUGUGAUAGACCUGUUUGGUAAUGUUGGUUCUUUGAUAGAAUCCAGAGGGGCUCUGUUAGCGUCCCAUGGAUUUAUUACUUUAAGUUUGGCCUAUAUUGCAUAUAAAGACUUACCUCCAAUUGCCACAGAGGUUGAUUUUGAAUAUUUCGAAGAGGCUAUUGAGUGGCUUAUUAACCAUGAGCAGGUUUCCAGUGAGAAAGGUAUAGGUGUUCUAGGGGCAUCUCUGGGAGGGAUAAUAGCUGUAUACAUGGCGAAAGAGUGUCCGCAAGUAAGCGCUGUUAUAAGUAUUAAUGGUCUCCCAAACUUCUUUAUUUAUGGUAUCCGCCAUAAUGGUAAACAGGUGCCAUAUCGCUCUUCAACAGUCUAUGGCCUUUCUGUAAUGAAGGAUGAUGGAUUUAUAAGUACAAAUUGGAAAAUAGAGGAAUCUAAGUCGUUUUAUUUAGAUGAGACUUCCCAUAGUAAAGUACUGCUUUUAGUUGGUGGUGACGACAAAUUAUAUGACACUAGUGACUAUUUCUUCUGGUUCAACAACUUAACACCUGCGAAAAAAAGGGAUGUUGAAUUAAUUAUAUACGAAGGUGCUGGUCACAUCAUUGAAGCUCCAUACACACCAUUGUUUAACCGUAUUUAUCAUCCGAAACUCGGGCAGCCUGUUAUUUAUGGGGGUUACCCUCAACAACAUGCUGAGGCACAAGAAAAGUCCUGGUUAAAAAUCAGGGAAUUUUUUACCAAAAAUCUAUAAAAAUUUCGACUGAUUCUUAUUGGUGUUUAUAUCAGUUUGCAAUACAUCAAAUAUUUAUGAUUGCACCUGUCAGCUUGAUGCAGGGAAUUCGCUAAUUAUUUGAUCACCAUAAAUGAACUAUUUGUGCCGGUUGACCAGCAAAAAAUUGCAGAAGCGUCUUU